UACGUAGGGGCAAGCGUUAUCCGGAUUUACUGGGUGUAAAGGGAGCGCAGACGGAACUGCAAGUCUGAUGUGAGAGCCCGGGGCUCAACCGCGGGACUGCAUCGGAUACUGUGGAUCUGGAGUGCCGGAGGGCAAGCGGAAUUCCUGGUGUAGCGGUGAAAUGCGUAGAUAUCAGGAGGAACACCGGCGGCGAAGGCGGCUUGCUGGACGGCAACUGACGUUGAGGCUCGAAAGCGUGGGAAGCAAACAGGAUUAGAUACCCCCGUA
rnacentral:rRNA from 1 species